rnacentral:rRNA from 1 species
UCCUACGGGAGGCAGCAGUCGGGAAUAUUGCGCAAUGGAGGAAACUCUGACGCAGUGACGCCGCGUGCAGGAAGAAGGUUUUCGGAUUGUAAACCGCUUUAGACAGGGAAGAAACAAGACAGUACCUGUAGAAUAAGCUCCGGCUAACUGCGUGCCAGCAGCCGCGGUAAUACGUAGGGAGCAAGCGUUAUCCGGAUUUAUUGGGUGUAAAGGGAGCGUAGACGGCAGAGCAAGUCUGAAGUGAAAGCCCGCGGCCCAACUGCGGGACUGCUUUGGAAACUGCCCGGCUAGAGUGCUGGAGAGGG